rnacentral:rRNA from 1 species
GAUGAACGCUGGCGGCGUGCCUAAUACAUGCAAGUCGAGCGAACGGACGAGAAGCUUGCUUUUCUGAUGUUAGCGGCGGACGGGUGACUAACACGUGGAUAACCUACCUAUAAGACUGGGAUAACUUCGGGAAACCGGAGCUAAUACCGGAUAAUAUUUUGAACCGCAUGGUUCAAAAGUGAAAGACGGUCUUGCUGUCACUUAUAGAUGGAUCCGCGCUGCAUUAGCUAGUUGGUAAGGUAACGGCUUACCAAGGCAACGAUGCAUAGCCGACCUGAGAGGGUGAUCGGCCACACUGGAACUGAGACACGGUCCAGACUCCUACGGGAGGCAGCAGUAGGGAAUCUUCCGCAAUGGGCGAAAGCCUGACGGAGCAACGCCGCGUGAGUGAUGAAGGUCUUCGGAUCGUAAAACUCUGUUAUUAGGGAAGAACAUAUGUGUAAGUAACUGUGCACAUCUUGACGGUACCUAAUCAGAAAGCCACGGCUAACUACGUG